GUUAUAAAGGAUAAUGAUGAUAGUUUGAUGAUAUUCUCUUGCAAUACAAAAUAGCUUGUUGAAUAGAUCUGGUUAAGAUUAUCUGGUUCAGUGAGAUCUAUUCUAGUUUCCCCCAACAGCCGAACACUAACAUGUUGCCCUGGCUUGUAAAUAUUUUACUUUAAAUAAAAUUAGUAUGGACUGAAUUGAGAAUAGUGUUGGUCUACAAGUGUCCAUCACAGCUUGCACAACAGCAAAGGUGUGUGUGUGUGUGUGUGUGUGUGUGUGUGUGUGUGUGUGUGUGUGUGUGUGUGUGUGUGUGUGUGUGUGUGUGUGUGUGUGUGUGUGUGUGUGUGUGUGUGUGUGUGUGUGUGUGUGUGUGUGUUUAUGAGGCCUUGCUCCUGGGAUAAGUACAUUUACCUUUCACUUGUCCUGGCAAAAAAGUCACUCUUCCGAUUGUCAUUUUACAAUAGUAAUAAUUGUUCAUGUUGUUUGCGAAUGGAGAAUGCAGAAUUCAGACGAACAAACAGUUGCAAUAAUUCACACCAUGUCAACCACAUCACUAAAACAGCCAUAACCCUCCUCUCUCACACACACACACAAACAUACACACAGACACAGACAACGUCAACAAAACAAACUAAUUCUGCCGUUCCCAUAAUGUGGUGACUUAAGUUGUAUUCAAAUAUGAAUACAAAUCUGUAGUUGGCUCCUAGACAUGACCACUACGCUGUCUGCUAUAUUAUACCUAUGUACGUUGUAUAUUUAUAUUCAAUGAAAAAUAAUCUUGUGUCUGUUUGUGCUUGCAGGAGUCCGUGUGUCAACUGAAGACAUCUGAUAAGAGUGUCUUCAAUCUGAUAAGAGUGUCACCACUGUCACUUCCUGACACUGAUGAUAUCAGAUUGCAGGCUGACGACUCCUCAGAAUUAAAACAUGCAACGUGUUUUUUCCAGCUGAUAUAGCAGAACCGACUCCUGAGAGCAGACGUAUCUGAAGCUGUCAGGGAGGAACCAUGGCUACCAUCUCUGAACCGGACCCUGGACUCUCUGAGGAACCUGAGGACACGUCUUUGGACCGGAGGGAGCGCAAGAGAAGAUUUGCUGGUAGAGCAAAGAAGAAGGCUAAGUCCAGACGCCGUGGAAGCCGUCAGAGAGUAACAAUGGUCACCAUCUCGGACCGGGAGGAGACCAAGAAGAGAAGAUUUGGUAGGUGCCCCUUUUAUAGAGAAUUUAAAAGAAAUAAUCCAGUCCAAAACAAUGAUCCAAAAAAGUAUGAUUUCCUCCAAAUACAUUUAAGAUUUAUGUUUAGAUUUUUUUUUUUGCCAAAGUGACCGUGUGUGUGUGUGUGUGUGUGUGUGUGUGUGUGUGUGUGUGUGUGUGUGUGUGUGUGUGUGUGUGUGUGUGUGUGUGUGUGUGUGUGUGUGUGUGUGUGUGUGUGUGUCCUACUCCUGAACAGCUCUAUGGUUUCACAUCACUGUCAUUGUGAGCAUCGGACUGCUGAGUAUUCUCCUCAUCUCCCUGCGCUUCAGUGAGUCUAAAUCAUAUCCUCCUGAAUAGAAUUACAAUACAGUAAUCAUAUCAUUGAUUGUAUUAAUAGCAAUGAUAAUGUUAAAUAUUGUUUUUGUUAGAUUUAGUGAUAAUAAUAGGGUUAGCACACAUACACCGCACGCACACCCAUAAACACAGCCUACACACACACAAACAAUCCACACACACGUGCACGAACACACACGCACAUGCACACACACUGCACACACGGGCGUGCUGAUGCAGGCGUUUCAAGACAAGGGCAGCGCAGGACACCGCCUACACACACACCACACACACAUGCACACACACACGCACACACAUGCACGUGCAUACACACACUGCACACACGCGGAUGCAGAUGUUUCAAGACAACCUUCUCACAGAGAGCCUCUGCGUGAGCGUCUGUAAACCUUGUACGGCCAAGAGUGCAAGAGACCA
rnacentral:lncRNA from 1 species